GUUCGUUUGUGAAGGGAAGGGAUCUUCCAGACCCAAUCAUUUCAUGAAGGUGCCUCCACCGUUUAUCUCGGUGAAGGUUGUGUUCGACCAUCUUGUGGGAGGCAAUGAUAGGUUGAUGGCAGAGAGGAAUUCCUCGUCUUCGUCGGCUUCUGGCAAGGGUGAUAAGGGCAAUAAAGGCAAGGUGGUUGCCGCUGGUCUCUCUCCAAAGGGGAGGAUGGCUACGAUGGAGUUGGAUCAGAAGUUUUCAGGACGAGCUGCUAAGAAGUUAGUGUUUAAGGGGCAGGGGGCGUUUGCAUUGCCUCAGCAUGGAUCGUCUUCGUUCGUUGGAGCUCGCUCGCUGGCAGCAGGGCAAUCAUGGGCAUAAGUGGUUCGGGGACCACGUUGGUUCAAGUGGGCAACCUCUCGAGCUAUUGAAACGAUGGCUAUGUUAGAAUGGAGAUUUACGAAUGUCGUGGUAUUUUCCAAUGAGGAGGUUCAACGAUCAUCCAUUCGAUGGAAAUUGGCCAUGGUUGGUAAGUUUCUUGGGCCUAGUCUUCCAAUUGAUUUUGUUCGGAAGGAAAUGAAACUCCGCUGGAAUACUGAGAGAGAAUUUCAUGUUUCUUCAUUAUCUAAGGGCAUGUUACUCUCUGUUUGUCCUUCAAAGGAAGUUAAGGACCGAAUUCUGCAAAAAAGGCCCUAGUCUCUUGUAGGCCAGUUGCUGGCUCUUGAGAGUUGGAGAUACUCGGUUUCAGCCAGGUCGUGAUACUCUUAAGCAGGUUCGAAUUUGGCUCCCCUUGCUGGAUUUGCUGCUUGAGUUGUGGGGUAAAGAAAAUAUUACGAAGAUGGCAUCCUUGGACUGAAUAUUUGACAAGAAUGGGUUUCAUUUGGGUUUGUGUCCUUCUAGAUAUUAUCAAUAGUGUUUGCCUAGGGGUUAAGAUGAGGGUGCAUGGCGAGUUCUUGUGGUAGCAAUUCAGUUAUGAGAAGUUGCCUCAGAUCUGUUAUGCUUGUGGGUGGAUCAGUAGAUUGACUGAUUAGUGUGGCCAUAUGGAUGGACGCUCCUACUUUUAAUAGGAAGCCUAUGUAUGGUCUUUGGAUCAGAGCUGCUCAUAGGUCAUCUACUCAUACUGCUGAAGGGGGACACCGAGGAUCUACUUGCAUUCCAAGAAGUUCCCUCCUAAAACUCACCCUAUCACCCAAUCAAUGCAUGUGGGGUUUGCUUCUACAUUUGCUUCGUUGAUGAAUGCUACUUCUGAGGAGCUUGUUGACUUACAGCAGAUGGAGAUUGCCGUCUCCCCUUUGCUACGUGCGAAGAUCAUCUACUGAGGUUAUCACUGAAGAAAAAUAGAGGCAAUUUCCAUCAAAAUCAAUUGGUCAAUGUAGGUCCUUCAGUUCUUCUUCUUCUCCUCAAACCAAAGUACUGGUGUUAGAUGAUGUUCGUGGUGAGCCGCAUCAAAUGUUGAAUCAAUCUAUGACACCUUCACCUAAGCAAUGUUCUAACAGCUAAGGAAGUUUGGAGGCCUGUCACAGUGCCCAUCAAGGAUAUUCAAUCGGAUUUGCACCUGGACUUGCAUAAGGACUCUCAUGUCGAUCAUCACCAACAUCCUUAUGGUGCACUGGUUCCACUUGUCAUACCUCUGAGUUUCUUCAAUUUUCCCAUCUAUUUACAGUCCUGUUGGAUGUACGGGUGGACAUUAUUUUGGCUCAAUCUCCAACUUCUCUAUGGACUACUACUACUAGAUGUUGCUUUUGUUGGACUAGCUGUGGGAUGUCAAGUCAUUAUAUGUACUCAUUUUGUUUUGUAUUUCUCUUCUAAAUCUACGGGUUUUUCUCUA